rnacentral:sRNA from 1 species
AUUUAAUUUUUUAGAUUUACACAUAGUAUAUGUAAAUUUUUUCUUUUGUGAGUUUUUCUAUUUUUUUAAGAGAGAACAAAAAGUUUACUCUUUUCCAAGACAUGUCAACAUCUGAUCGACAGACUUGACAUAUGGCAUAAUCGUAUGAGUUACUAACUUUAAAAUCCAUACUUUAUAUAAUAAGAUUU